rnacentral:rRNA from 1 species
UACGGAGGGUGCAAGCGUUGUUCGGAUUUACUGGGCGUAAAGCGCGCGCAGGUGGGUGAACAAGUCGGAAGUGAAAUCUUGAGGCUCAACCUCGAGGCUGCUCCCGAAACUGUUCGCCUAGGGACUGGUAGAGGCUGGUAGAAUUCCCGGUGUAGCGGUGGAAUGCGUAGAGAUCGGGAAGAAUACCCGUGGCGAAGGCGGCCAGCUGGGCCAGGUCCGACACUGAGGCGCGAAAGCGUGGGGAGCAAACGGG